GACGAACCGUGCGAACGUUGUUCGGAAUCACUGGGCUUAAAGGGCGCGUAGGCGGGCUUACAAGUCCGGGGUGAAAGCCCCCAGCUCAACUGGGGAAGUGCCUUGGAUACUGUAAGCCUCGAGGGGGGUAGGGGCGUGCGGAACUUCCGGUGGAGCGGUGAAAUGCGUAGAUAUCGGAAGGAACACCGGUGGCGAAGGCGGCGACCUGGACAGUAACUGACGCUGAGACGCGAAAGCGUGGGUAGCAAACAGG
rnacentral:rRNA from 1 species